UCUGGAAACAAAUGGACUAUGAAAUACAGCAAAGAGACAAUAUGUGCUUUAAAAGGGUCCACUGUGUUUAGGAAUGGCUCUUAUACACACCCAGACCAUCUUACAGUGACAGAAGCCUUUUGGUAUAUAGACCCAGAGGAUGAACACCAGUACUGCUACAGAAUCCAAACACGCACAGAGAAAUGGGUGGGUAUUCCUGGAAUACAGCUGAAAUUUACAGACACUGAGAAAACAAUACAGAGACCAUCGCCAUAGUAAUAAAGUCUACAGGAAACGUAUGUCUACAGGAAACGUAUGUAUGUGUCUGUGUGCCUGUGUGUGUGUGUGAGAGAGAGAGAGAGAGAGAUUGUUGGGUGAAGUGGCUGAAGGUAUGACAACCAUAUUUUAUUGCCUGGAUCUGGGUCAAAAUGUAAAAUUCCACAUUUUUCAGUCAGGACUUUGGAAUAACACAAAUAUCUAAUUUUA